UACGGGGGGGGGCAAGCGUUGUUCGGAUUUACUGGGCGUAAAGCGCACGUAGGCGGAUCGUUAAGUCGGGGGUGAAAUCCUGGAGCUCAACUCCAGAACUGCCUUCGAUACUGGCGAUCUCGAGUUCCGGGAGAGGUGAGUGGAACUGCGAGUGUAGAGGUGAAAUUCGUAGAUAUUCGCAAGAACAGCCAGUGGCGAAGGCGGCCAUGCGCUGGACCC
rnacentral:rRNA from 1 species